GUUUUCUGGAGAGUCCAGACUGUAGACUGGAGACUCUGGGGUUGAGUUACUGCAGGUUGUCAGAGAUCAGCUGUGAUUCUCUGGUCUCAGCUCUGAGGUCCAACCCCUCCCAUCUGAAACAUCUGGACCUGAGACUCAAUAACCUGAAGGACUCAGGAGUGAAGCAGCUUCUUGAUCUUAAGAAGAGUCCAGACUAUAAACUGGAGACUCUGAGGUGGAGGUGAUAAACAGGAGGAUGAGCUGUGUCCUGAUGAUCCAGAGGUUGAAGCAGACUCU